rnacentral:rRNA from 1 species
UACGUAGGGUGCGAGCGUUAAUCGGAAUUACUGGGCGUAAAGCGUGCGCAGGCGGCUUUGCAAGACAGAUGUGAAAUCCCCGGGCUCAACCUGGGAACUGCAUUUGUGACUGCAAGGCUAGAGUACGGUAGAGGGGGAUGGAAUUCCGCGUGUAGCAGUGAAAUGCGUAGAUAUGCGGAGGAACACCAAUGGCGAAGGCAAUCCCCUGGGCCUGUACUGACGCUCAUGCACGAAAGCGUGGGGAGCAAACAGG